GUGGGUCGGAUUCGGCAGCACUUCUGCAAAGGAUCUGAUGGGGUCCCUGGGAUGCUCAGUGGUGGGCAAGCCCACGUAAACCAUUGCGAACCAAGACGCUGGCUGCCGUGAAACACCCACUCAAUGCCCGGGCACUGGGCUUGCCUCAUACAGGCAGUUUGUUCAGCCCUGGCCUCAGGACCAGACGCUGGGGCCAAAGCAGCCAUGUGGCUUCCGACAGAUGCCCAUCAGACGGCCGCAGACGAUGAGAAUUACGUGGCACCACUCAGCUCACCAGCUGUGCACCUCCACGGGCUUCCGUUGGGGCCUGGUUCUGACGUCUUUCUGAGAUCCAGCAGCGACCUGGCUUCGGGCCAGCCUCCCUUAUCUGAAUCUCACGCAAGCAGCAUGUGUGUGACAGUACCCAUUCCAUCUUCAUCAUGCCCAAGAGUUUCAGCUCCGGGUUCUCUUCUGAAGCUGGAAAUCUUCUCUGGGAGGCCGUUUCCCCACUAAACAGUGGUGUCUAGAUUGGAAAGGGGAGGGUGGGCCUUCCAUGACUCAGGGGCUAAAGGACAACAGGAGCAAAUACAAAAGCUGGCUAUGAUGGGGCAUCUGGCCUGGCUCCUGCCAUCCAGGGGACAGACGGGUUGUUGAGUGACGCUGGGCAGGCAACACUCUGGACUCUCAGGGCGAUGAGGAGGGUCCCACAUUCAUGCAUUUUCCAAAGGAAGUUUCCAGGAUUGUACCAAGACCUCACAUGGAUACGUCCUAAGCACUGGCAUUUACUGAGCGUGCCGUUCUGAGCUGGUGAGCCAGAGGGAUGAGAACUCUGCCUGGAGAAGUGGGUGCCCAGCAUGUAUGUCAAGGCUUGGCCCGGACCUGAGAGAGUCCUUGCUGAACGUGCGGUGCAGGACUUACAUUUCAGGGCUAACGUUUGCCACGAAAACCAGCCCAACGUGGGACAUGAAAGCAUCUUAGCCGCAGCGGCCGAGUCCAGCAAUGUGGACAGCCAGACGCAUGCUUGGUGGAGGCAGCCAGCGCCCCCGUCCUGGUCUCGGUCAUCAGUUCCAUCAAUGACAAAUGCUGCUGGGGCCCAUGAGGACCACCUGCGCCACUCACAUGUUGCUUUCCUUCUGCGAUCUGCUAGCUUCCGAGAUGGCCAAGGCAGAUGCACUCAUGGCUCAGUGAGAAGGUGAACGUCGCCUCUGCGUUCACUGCUAAUGGAGACUGGAGUAACGAUGUCUGGUCCGCGUUAAGGCGGGCAGCUCGGCGGCCCACACCUUUGGUUUUUUGGUCUCAGGCCCAUUAUGGAUAAGCUGGUGUGGGGUGGGGCAGGGGAGUUUCAGGGGCUGGAAUGGCCUCAUGGCAGCCCCACGUAGAGGCUGCCUGGCCCCUGGACUGGCCCCACCAAGGGGAACAGGACAUUGCAGCUGGGCUUGGGGAAGAAGGGAGGCCUGUCCUUUUGAUUCUUCUUUCUGGCAUCCUGUGUGUGCACGUCUGUGUAAGUGUGUGUACACAUGUACACCUGCCUAUAGUUUCUUUCCACUUGGAAUUGGUUUUGACAAAAAGGUGCGUCAGCUUCCCAAGCUGGUCCCUGCAACAGUGAGGGAUGGAGCCUCAUCCUCAUCCCAGAGCCACACCCUCAGCUUCCCCCGGAAAAGGCAGCGGCUUCUUCUGACGCAUGGAUACAGCCCCCACUACGGAGCUGGGGAGGGAGCUGCAGGCAGCCUUGACCCCAGACCAAAUUCAAAGGACCUGCCUCUUCCAAAGGCCUCCCUCCAAGGGCCACGGGGACCCCAUGACCGUCCUCUCAUCCCAAGCUGGCUGCAUGGGGUGGGCUGGUUUAUCGCAGAUAAGACUGCACCCGCUGAUGAGGCCAGAUGCAGGUGAACCCCAGUGCUGCCAAUGAGGAGUCUGCAGAUGGGGUGAGGCUGAAAGGCAGUUGUGGAAGGCCGGGCAGUGGCAGCCACAUGGCAGAGGAGGGGGUGGGAGACCCGGGGCAGGGAUGGAACAGCCAUGGGGUGCAGGAGACUGCACCCCCUGUGAAGGACAGGCCAGCGGCCAGCCCCCAGGCCACCCUGGCUCCUGUCAGCAUCCCAGGUCGAGUCCACUGUCAUCCUCAUCUGAACACCCUGACUGCAUCUAACACCAGGGCAUCUGCUUCCUGGCCUCUGCAGGGCCCACUCUACAGCCUCUGACGCUAUGUGCAAUGGUCUCAGGGUCAGGGCCAAGAGCACUGUGAUAGCGAAUUUCAUGUGUCAACCUGAGUGGGCCUUGGGUGCCUAGACAUUUGGCCAAGCAUCGUUCUGGGUGUGCUGUGGGUGUUUCCAGGUGAGAUUAGCAUGUGAAGGGUGGCCCUCCCCAGGGUGGUGGGCCUCGUCCAAUCAGUUGGGGGCCUACAUAGAGCCAAAGGCUGAGUGACAGGGCCUCCUCCUGUGACGGCUGCAGCUGGGACCUCAGUCUUUUCCUGCCUUUGGGCUUGGACUGCAAUACCAGCUCUUCUUGGGUCUUCAGCCUUCAGGCUGGAACCUGCAGCAGCAUUUCUCUGGUUCUUGGGCCUUCAGACUCAGACUGGACCGAAACCAUCAGCUCUCCUGGGCCUCCAGCUUGCCAGCGACAGGUCUCGGGAUUUGCCCCUUCCAUAAGUGCUUGAGCCAGGUCUUCAGGAUAAAUCUCUUUCCACCUAUCCUGUUGGUUGUGUUUCUCUGGAUAACUCAGACUAAUACAAGCCAGUCCUUCCA